GGCUCUCUUACUGGAUCAUCAUCGAAUUGGGGCAGCAACAUUUAUUAAUUUUUGGAGGCUCCAUUACGGGAGGGAUAUUAGUAGCCAUAAGAUAUUUUUUGAGAAAGGGGACACCAUCGAAUAUUUUUUUUGGCAGCCGUAUACCCCACCUUCAGCUCUCAAAACUCAUCACCAGCAUCAUCAUUAUUCAUCAUCGAUCCUCCGCACUACACCAAGUCAAUCAUGAACUCAACUUUCAACCAAGCUUCGGAAGAUUGUACGAGCGUCAUGAGCGGCUAGUCGUCCCGUGACUGUCUCCGGGAAUAGGGUUUGUGUUAAAACAUUGGGUUACGUUUUGUUACGAUUGUUUUGGAUUAGGAUUCGAUUAAACCUUUGGUUAGUCGUUCCUAUUGUUUCUUGUUUUGAUUAAACAAUUUUUUAUUAUCGUAAUCAUUCUUGUUCAUCAAUUAUUUGGUUUGUUCAUCAACAACCGGGAUUAAAUUCUAGGAUGUCAUUAUCGUGGAUCAUUGCAAUCAAAUAUAUUAUCUGUUAAUUAUUUAUCAAAACAAGUUUUCAAAUCAUGUCUAUGUGACUUCCAAUUGGUCGUAAUUAAGUAAACCGAUUUUCUACAUAACCUGAAACCCGGAGAUUGGUCCUUUUCUCAUUAUUCUUCACAAACACAAUUUCACAUUCGUUUUCAUAAUUACUCUCACAAAUCUGCAAAAAGCAAUUAGUUUAGAAUUAGAUGAUAAUUAAAGCAACGAACUUAUAUACUUUCCACUGAUUCCCCGUGGAUUCGACACCCUACUUGCCCUUUACUAGUAAAAGGUGAAUAGGACACUUUUUAAUUAUAUUUUUGACCGACCUUACGACAUCGAUCAAAAUGGCGCCGUUGCCGGGGAAUCGGUGCGCUUAGUUUAGUUAGUUGCUUUUUCUU
rnacentral:lncRNA from 1 species